rnacentral:rRNA from 1 species
UACGUAGGGGGCAAGCGUUGUCCGGAUUUAUUGGGCGUAAAGAGCGUGUAGGCGGCCAGGUAGGUCCGCUGUGAAAACUCGAGGCUCAACCUCGAGAUGUCGGCGGAAACCAUCUGGCUAGAGUCCGGAAGAGGAGAGUGGAAUUCCGCGUGUAGCAGUGAAAUGCGUAGAGAUGCGGAGGAACACCGAUGGCGAAGGCAGCCCCCUGGGCUAACACUGACGCUGAGGCACGAAAGCGUGGGGAGCAAACAGG